GUGAACGCUGGCGGCGCGCUUAAUGCAUGCAAGUCGAGCGUGUCCCGACGGCUUCGGCUAUCGGGAAAAGCGGCAGACGGCUGAGUAACACGUGAGUAACCUGCCCUCCGGUGGGGUAUAGCCCCGAGAAAUCGAGGUUAAUCCCGCAUACGAUCCCGAUACCUUGGUGUCGGGAUGAAAGCCUCCGGGCGCCGGAGGAGGGGCUCGCGGCCUAUCAGGUAGUUGGUGAGGUAAUGGCUCACCAAGCCGAUGACGGGUAACUGGUCUGAGAGGACGGCCAGUCAGAGGGGGACUGAGACACGGCCCCCACUCCUACGGGAGGCAGCAGCAGGGAAUUUUGGGCAAUGGGCGAAAGCCUGACCCAGCGACGUCGCGUGGGGGAUGAAGGCCUUCGGGUCGUAAACCCCUUUUCCAGGGGAAGAGAAAGGACGGUACCUUGGGAAUAAGCUCCGGCUAACUACGU
rnacentral:rRNA from 1 species